rnacentral:lncRNA from 1 species
AUGAAACAACAUUGUGGGGAGGGAAGCAUUAGGGCAGCGCGGGGCAGAGGGAGCGCGGAGGGGGCACGCAGCUCACCCCGGCCCGCAGCCCUGCACCUGUCUGCGAGCUCCAUAGCGGGCGGAGGGGGAGCGGAGCGGAGGUUUUCACGGUCGUUCUGUUGCUGUAACCACCAUGGAUGUGAACGUUGUGGUGAGAACGGCUUGCUAUUUUCUCAUACUGGAUUCCUCAAAUCCAAGAGCUACUCAGCAGUUUCCAAGGCAACCACCUGUGGAAUAAUUAAAAAGGAUGGAGUGUUAGUGUGCCAGAUGCACGGAAUUCUUGCCUGGAGAGAGCACUUCGUUUUCAGCUGUCUUGAAGAAUCAAAUGUGAUUCUGCCAGCACAUUUAAGGUUGUGUGUCCCUGCAAUUAGAAAAAUAAGGCUUCAGAAUUACGUAUUUGGUGGAGAGAUGGAGCGUGGCUGUAAAUUGUGA